GGGAGCGUGGGGUGGGGGACAGCUGUGGCCGGGCCGGGUCGUGGCCGGGGGAGGGUCGCGCCGGUCGCUGGGGCAGGAGCCCCAGCCGAGAGCGCGCCAGCGGCGGUCCGGAGCCCCGUGCGCCCCGCCGACACUCCAGCGGGCGCAGAGGCGGCGCGGGCGGGGAGCGCCUCCCUGGCCGAAGCCGCGGCCGCCACCGAGGGCCUCCUGGGCGAGCGAGGCUGUCACGGACGGAGGCUCCCGCGCAGUCUCGUGGCGCGCUGUGGGGCACCUCGGUGCUUCCAGAAGGCCCGGGGCACUUGGGAGGCCAUCCCACCUGUCCGACCCUCCCCACAGGUGGGAUCCGGCUCUCCCGGGGGGUGGCCGCAGAAGGACGUAAAGGGACCUGUAAUCGAGGGGAAGGGAAUGACUCGCGUUUGCAGUCCUUGUUUGAACUUUAAAAAAUGCGAAAACUUUGGAAAACGAAUGCAACAAGGAGUAAGCAUUUUUACCCAGAGGCUUGAUUCUUCUUACCUGCUUUUAAAGGUGUUUUGGUAUUCGGAGACAGGAGGCUUCCUUUUGUGUACCAAGGCUUCGUUAAGCAACUUAUAAACUGUGGGAAUCUGACUCUUUUUUAAGACCCCAUACGGGUCAGAGGUGAAGCUGCUGCAGCACUUUAAAUGAGAGACCCUUUUUCCUCAGGUGAGAGGAUUGUGAGGCUGUGAGGAACGUCUUUCCAUCCUUUUUAUGGAGAAGAGCGGUAGCGCCUGGCUUACAUUUAUUUUUUACAUUUGCUUAGCUCUUCAUGGCCUUCUCUCAGGCUGUGGGAUUUGGGCACUGUGUUUGAGAGGACAUUUUGUGGGCAGACUGAGUUUUUUUUUUUUUUCCUGGUUGAGAGAACCUAAAUUAGUGAGUUUUUUUUAUUUUUAAGUAUUGUCCAGGAUGUGAGUAGGGCACGUUUGCACAGGUUCUGUGUAACAGCCUCCACUGUGUACUGUUGAAUAUGGUAUCUAUAUCAUGAGCUAGACGUCCAGGUGGAGAGCUGACAUGUGUGUACCUGAGUGCCACAGCAGAAACUCUUCGGAGGUUAUGCAUUUUAAGCAAAUAAUAAUCUGUGCUCUUGAAAGAACAAGAAUUUUAAACAAUUGAAGUAAUAAAUAAGGCCAUCUUUUCCAAAUUCAGAUUUGUUCAAGUAAAAUCUGUACAUACUUUUUUAUGAUACAACUUGUGUAAGUUUUUCUUCUAAUAAAAAAAAAUCCACUUUCACAACUAGAGUCAGGCUUUGAACUCCACCUUGGAUUGGUUAAUAAGUGCAGUCUGGCACCUGUUCACAAAUAUUGGUAUAAACAAAAUGACCAAACGUGUUGGUGGAAAUUGAUCGUAUCAUAUCUUUCCAGCCUAGGCAUAUAUGGUUUCCUUUCCGUAUCUUUCCAUUUGCUAUACUUCCACUGUACUCUAGUGUUUUAGUUUUUGUAUAACUUAUGCUAAAGAGCCAAAAAUAAUUAUUUAGCUUUAGUUGGGACUAUAAUUUCAGUUCAUGUAAAUAUUUCCAAAUUGUAUUGAGAAACCCAAACUUCUCAGAGUUCAUGGUAGGAUAUUCCAGAUCCUUGUCAAAAGGUUAUGUUUUAGUGCAAGUGCUUUUAGGGGAAAGGUCAGAAUUUCACUCCCAGUAAAAAUCUUGACCACCCCCCCCAAGCAUAAUGGGAAUUGUUAUUUUAAAAUUCUAAGUGAAACUCACAGCAAAAGUUUGCUGUUAAACUAGGCAGCAGUGAUGUGCAGAGUGCAUGGGUGAUAAAAUUAGCCAAACCAGAGUUCUAAUUAGUUACUUGUUGGCUAUGCCCUCAGACAGGUUAUUGGACUUCUUAGAGACUGUUUUCUGAUAUGAGACAGGGGGACAGCUGACAAGCAUGAUGGUGCUUGCACAUAAUAGAGAUACUAAUUCCCUUUAACCUCCCCACCCCAUUUGAGGCGCUUUUUACUCCAGGUCAUCAGUUUUUGAAUAUUAUACUGUGCCUCUGCAAGGAAUUUUUUUUUAAUGAUAUUUCUUGUUGAUUGAAGAAGUAACUUUGGUCAAUAAAAAAUACCAUUAAAAAAAUGGCACAUCGGAGGCAAUACUGUGAUUCCCGCCCCCCCCCCCAGUGAUGUAUGUCUAAUUGAGCUAGACAUUAAUUCAUUACCGGCUGAGACGCUGGGCUGCCAGAUCCAAAACGCAGUAAUGUCCGUGUUGUUGCACUUGAGGCUGACUUGUGUUAAUCUGGAAUAUACUUAUUUAGUCAGUGAGAUUUUCUCCUUUUAGACCUGUAUCUUGUCCCUAGUGUUGGUUUGUGCUAUGUCAUUACUGUCACGUAGUCCUUAUUUUAUGGUUAUCAGAGAUCUGUUCACAUGGGGCAAAAGACUUCUUUUCAUUUAUAGUAUAUAAAAUUGCUUUUAUUCAGCAAGUGUUUUUGUUUUGGGGGGAGGUGAAAAAAAAAAAGUGAGAACUGGGGCUCAUGUGUGUAACAGAAAACCAAACCCAUUGCCGUUGAGUUGAUUCCAAUUCCUAGCAAUCCUGUAGGACAGAGUAGAACUGCCUCAUAGGGUUUCCAAGGCUCUAAAUCUUUAUGGGAGCAGAUCGAGAGGUCUUUUCUCUUAAAGAACUGCUGAUGGAUUAGAACCCCCAACCUUUCGGUUAACAGCCAAGUUAACCGCUUAACCACUAUACUACCAGAAACAAACUCAAAAUAUCAUCUGACAGAUGAGUCUUAACUAGAAACGUUGUCCUUGUUUAUCAUUUAUUCUGAUAGUCAUCACCUGUAUGAAUUAUCCUACUAGGUGAUAUUAAGGCAUUUAUAUUGAGGCCAUGAGUAGAAUGUUUCCUAAGCCCUUACUGUCAGGGCUGUGGAUCAUGAAGAAAUUAGACUGUAGUUGCACACAUGUGUAUUUGUACUGCUUCAUCAACUUGUUUGCCCACUUAGCUUUCUAUAGAAGGGUAGCUUCUUCUCAGAGCACAGGAGAAAACGUACGUGAGAUAUUCCUUGAAUAUAAAACUAGUGAACUAAGUAAAAGUUGCUUCAUGUGUGAAUAGAAUAGUACCACCCACAUGGACUGGAAGAAUAUCAGUAUCAGUAGAUAACUAUUUAAUUUUCAUUGGAAAUAUCUUUGGUUUUGGGAUCCAAAGUAACCUUUAGGUCUAGUAUUUCGUAUGUUUUAUAGUGACCAAAUGUUCUCUCUAAAGAGAUGAUAUAGGGGAGAAAAACCUAAUGUAUCAUUUUAAUGGAUUCAGUUUUCAUUAUGCACAAAUAACUUGGGGCUUGUAACCUAGCAAUGUGAUUAGAGUGUGAUGCUGGCUUAAAAAAUAGGGACAGUGAAUCAUAGUCCAUGAAUAAUAAACAUACCAGCUGGAUAUAUUCCCCAGAAGCUGGGGGAGUUUUUCCAUCUUUAUCUUUACCUAUAUUCCAUGUUUGGUUUCAGACUGCCCUGCCUCAGAGCAACACAGAUACUUAAAUGAGUGCAAUAGACCAGAUCCCGAUUGGGAAAACUAGAACCUAAAAAUAUAAUCAUCAUCAUAAGGUCCUUGCUUACAUUCCUUUUAUCAAAUUUAAGUUACCUUUAGACAGUCUGUACAUCAGUUCUGAUUAUCUCAUGAUCGUUGUUCAUGAACAGACACACACAGCAAAUACGACAGUGUAAAAAUGUGUGCUCUAUCUUUUUGUUCAGCUUCUUUCACAGAAUGUUCCCUGUAACCUGCUAGGAAAUGUUCUGAGUAUGUCAUUGCAUUUCCAUGCAAAAAGCAUUUGAGCCUUCUGUGCCUGGUCAUGGGUUAGGGACUCAGGUCAUAAGUCAUUGAGUUUGGCAUGGUAAUAAGCCAUCAUUUGCUUAGCUAUCACCUGCUGAGGUUGUUUUGUGUUGUUUCCAUUUUUCCCGCUAUUAAAAGGAAAGGUUUAUGUUCUUAAUCUUCAAAUUUUUUGUGCGCGGUGCUAUCUGUAUGAGAACAUGGGAAGAUUUAAAACAUUCCUCAAAGUAAUCAUAUUCAUUGCAGUAAAGUUAAAAAAUAUACAUAAGCUUAAAUUAAAAAAAAAACAACUCCUAUAAUCUCACUUCUCAAGCAUUACCACUUGUGGUGUGGUGAAUUACUUAAUAUGAUCCUUCUAGCCAUAGUCUUUGUAACUCCCACCAUGUUACUGGGUGGGACUAUGUAAAUGAGGUGCUUGUGGCCCACCAAGGAGAUUGGGUAGCUUGCUAAUAAUGUAAAUAAAGUGCAUGGCACCCUUGUGGGAGGGUGGGACCAUGCAAAUAAGGUGUAUGGAACCCUAACGAGGGGAUUGGUCAGUUUUGCCAUCUGGCUGGGCUUAAAAUGAGCCAUCCGAGAAGUGAGAAGAGAGGAUCUCACUACCAAAGAGGAGCCAAGAGUGAAGCGCAUCCUUUGGACCUGUGAUCCCUGCAUUCCUGGAACCAGGAGACUGCGAGAGAGCUGUAACACCGAAGACGACAAGAUGCGGUGACAGAGAAACUGCGGCAGCAGAGGCAGGAGACUGGCAGGGAACAGUGCGGUGAGCUUCCUGGCCCACAGGGUGAGAAAGCUGGGUGCCUUUGGGCAGGGGGUUUGCUGGCUGCGUAGGGUGCCUCAGGGUACUGGGUGGAGCUACAUUUGCCAACCCAUGAGUUAGAGCUGAGCGCUUUGGGGCUGAGGUUUACUGGCUGAGUGGGGUGCCUCUGGGCACUUACCAGCAGAGCUAAAAGAGCUUUGUAACACUUGCCCGAGCAGGGCACAGACCAGGCUGAGGGCCAGAGAGACCUGCCUGCAGGCACGGCUGAGAAGAGGCUGUCCUGAUCAAAGGACUGCAUCCUUAGUGUUCCUGAACCUGAAUUGUAACCUGUUACUUCUUGAACAAACCCCAUAACUGUGCUGUGGAGUUGGCUCUGACUCAGCGACCCUGUCUACUGCACAAUGAAACACUGCCCAGUUCUGCACCAUCCUUACAAUCAUUGCUAUGCUUGAGCCCAUCGUUGCAGCCACUGUACCAAUCCAUCUCAUUAAGGGUCUUCCUCUCUUUUGUUGACCCUCUGCUUUACCAAGCAUGAUGUCCUACAGAGACUGAUUCCUCCUGAUGACGUGUCCAAAGCACAUGAGAUGAAGUCUUACCACCGUUGGUUCUAAGGAACAUUAUGGCAGUACUUCUUCCAGGACAGAUUUGUUCAUUCUUCUGGCAGUCCAUGAUAUAUUCAGUAUUCUUAGCAAAUACCGUAAUUCAAAGGCAUCAGUCUUUCUUUGGUCUUCUUUAGUUAUUGUCCAGCUUUCACAUGCAUAUGGGACAAUUAAAAAUACCAUGGCUUGGGUCAGGCACACCUUAGUCCUCAAAGUGUGACAUCUUUGCUUUUUAACACUUUAAAGAGGUCUUUUACCAGACUUAAUGGUCUGACUGAGACUGGAGGAACCCCAGAGGUCAUGGCUCCGGACUCUCUGUGAGCCCAAAACUGAAACCAUCCCUGAAGCCAACUCUUCAGACAAAGAUUAGACUAGACUCCAAGACAUAAAUGAUACUGGUGAGGAGUAUGUUUCUUAGCUCAGGUAGAUACAUGUGACUAUGUGGGCAGCUCCUGUCUGGAGGCAAGAUGAGAAGGCAGAGGGGGACAAGAGCUAGUUGAAUGGACACGGGAAGUACAGGUUAGAGAGGUGGAGCGUGCUGUCUUAUAGGGAGAGCAACUAGGGUCACACAACAAUGUGUGUAUAAGCUUUUGUAUGAGAAACUGAUUUGAAUUAAAGCACAGUAAAAAAAAAAGAGAAAGAGAAAUAAAUAAAGAGGUCUUUUGUAGCAGAUGUGCCUGGUGCAAUACAUCUUUUGAUCUCUUGACUGCUGUUUCCAUGGGCAUUGAUUGUGGAUCCAAGUAAAAUGAAAUCCUUGACAACUUCAGUCUUUUCUCUGUCUAUCAUGAUGUUGGUUAUUGGUCCAGUUGUGAGGAUUUUUGUUUUCUUUAUGUUGAGGUGUAAUCCAUACUGAAGGCUGUGGUCUUUGAUCUUUAUCAGUAAAUGCUUUCAGUUCUCACUUUCAGCAAGCAAAGUUGUGUCAUCUGCGUAUUGCAGGUUGUUAAUAAGUCUUCCUCCAAUCCUGAUGCCCCAUUCUUCUUCAUAUAGUCCAGCUUCUCGGAUUAUUUGCUCAGGAUACAGAUUGAAAAAGUAUGGUGAAAGGAUACAACCUUGCCACACACCUUCCCUGAUUUUAGGCCACACAAUAUCCCCUUGUUCUGUUCAAAUGACUGCCUCUUGGUCUAUGUACAGGUUCCUCAUGAGCACAAUGAAGUGUUCUGGAAUUCCCAUUCUUUGCAAUGUUAUCCGUAAUUUGUUAUGAUCCACACAGUCAAAUGCAUUUGCAUAGUCAAUAAAACACAGGUAAACAUCUCCCUGGUAUUCUCUGCUUUCAGGCAAGAUCCAUCUGACAUCAGCAAUGAUAUCCCUCAGGCUUAAAUUUCUGGCAGUUCCCUGUUGAUGUAUUGUUGCAACCGUUUUUGAAUUAUCUUCAGCAAAAUUUUAGUUGCCUUUGAUUUUUUUUUUUUUUUUUUUUGUGAUAUUAAUGGAAACCCUGGUGGCAUAGUGGUUAAGUGCUUUGGCUGCUAACUAAAAGGUCCGCAGUUCAAAUCUUCCAGGCGCUCCUUGGAAACUCUACGGGGCAGUUCCACUCUGUCCUAUAGGGUCGCUAUGAGUCGGAAUUGACUUGGCGGCAGUGGGUUUGGUUUGGGUUUUUUUUGGUGAUAUUAAUGAUAUUGUUUGAUAAUUUCUUCAUUCUGUUGCAUCACCUUUCUUUGGAAUGGGCACAAAUAUGGAUCUCUUCCAAUAGGUUGGCCAGGUAUCUGUCUUCCAGAUUUCUUGGCAGAGAUGAGUGAGCACCUCCAGCGCUGCCUCCUUUUCUUGCAGUAUCUCAGUUGGUAUUCCGUCAAUUCCAGAAGCCUUGUUUUUUGCCAAACCAAAACCCAAACCCCUGUCGUGGAGUCGAUUUUGACUCAUAGUGACCCUAUAGGACAGAGUAGAACUGCCCCAUACAGUUUCCAAGGAGUGCCUAGUGCAUUCAAACUGCCGACCGUUUGGUUAGCAGCCAUAGCUUAACCACUAUCCUACCAGGGUUUCCUGUUUUUUGCCAGGCACCACUAAUCUACUUUCUUUUACUGUGAAUUUGCCUGUUCUGUACAUUUUAUAUACAUAGAAUCCUACAAUAUGAUAUCUUUUAUGACUGGCUAUUUUCACUUAACAUAAUGUUUUUAAGAUUCACCCAUACUGUAGCAUGAACCAGUACUCAAUUGCUUUUUAUGGCUAAAUAAUAUCCAUUGUACGGAUAUACCACACUUUAUUUGUCCAUUCAUCAGUUGCUGGACAUUUAGGUUGUUUUCUGCCUUUGGCUGUUAUGAAUAAUGCUACCAUGAACAUUCAUGUACAAGCUUUUCUGUGAAUAUUUGCUUUCAUUUCUCUUGAGCGUAUACCUAGGAGUGAAUUUGCUGGGUCAUAUGGUAAUUCUAUGUUUAACCUUUCGGGGAACCACUGGUCUGUUUUGCAAGGUGACAGCACCAUUUUAAAUUCCCAUGAGCAAUGUUGGAAGGUUCCAGUUUCUCGACAUCCUUCCCAGCACUUGUUAUUAUCUGUCCUUUUAAUUAUAACUAUCCUAGUAGGUAUGAAGUGGUCUCUUCUUGUGGUUUUGAUUUACAUUUCCCUGAUGGCUAAACUCUUAACAUUUUGGUGUAUAUCUUUACAUACUUUUUUUUUUUCCUGUGCACAUAUUUAUAUGGAUAAUAUUUGCUUCCCCAAACUGAAACAUUUCCUAGAUCUUUCUGGGUCAAUAAUUUUAAUUCUGCAACAUUAUUCUUAUUGGCAGCAUAGUACUUCUCUGAAUGGAUGUACUGUAAUUGAACCAUUCAACCAUUUAGAUAUUCAGUCUUUUUUCUGUUUUCUUAUAAUUUUUAUUGUGUUUUAAGUGAAAGUUUACAAAUCAAGUCAGUCUCUCACACAAAAACUUAUAUACAUCUUGCUACAUACUCCCAAUUACUCUCCCCCUAAUGAGACAGCCCGCUCUCUCCCUCCACACUCUUUUCCUGUCCAUUUCGCCAGCUUCUAACCCACUCUACCUUGUCAUCUUCCCUCCAGGCAGGAGAUGCCAACAUGGUCUUAAGCGUCCACCUGAUCCAAGAAGCCCACUCCUCACCAGCAUCCCUCUCCAACCCAUUGUCCAGUCCAAUCCAUGUGUGAAGAGUUGGCUUUGGGAAUAGUUCCUGUCCUAGGCCAACAGAAGGUCUGGGGGCCAUGAACACCGGGGUCCUUCUAGUCUCAGUCAGACCAUUAAGUCUGGUCUGUUUUUGAGAAUUUGGGGUCUGCAUCCCACUGCUCUGCUGCUCCCUCAGGGGUUCUCUGUUGUGUUGCCUGUCAGGGCAGUCAUCAGUUAUAGCCAGGCACCAUCUAGUUCUUCUGGUCUCAGGAUGAUGUAGUCUCUGGUUCAUGUGGCCCUUUCUCUCUUGGGCUCGUGAUUACCUUGUGUCCUUGGUGUUCUUCAUUCUCCUUUGAUCCCGGUGGGUUGAGACCAAUUGAUGCAUCUUAGAUGGGUGCUUGCUGACGUUUAAGACCCCAGACGCCACUCUUCAAAGUGGGAUGCAGAAU